AGGACUAACUAUGCAUUUCUGUUACCUCUCCUUCUAACAACUUACCCAACAUCUUCCAGAAAGUGCCUGGUGAUAGCCCACGACAUCACAAAAAUGGCUGGAGAACCUGAGGGUUAGAAACAAAAAGAGGGAGAGGAAAGGGGACUCAGUCUUUAAUACAUGCUUGAGAGACAGAACAGUUGGUUACAUAGGUACUGAGUAAGUACCAAAGUUUGGUUUCCAUGGAAACCCUUUUGCCAUAUUGUGUCCAAAGGAGACAACAUGCUGUAAGGGUUUUAGGCUGAGGAGGCCAGGGGAGUGGAAGCUGGAUCAGAAAGGCCUAAAGGUCUUUUGGGAAUCUGGGUCAGUCUCUGGGUGACCCUUGCAGAGGAGAGAAGCAAUUAGACCCUGGAGCAUGUACAUGGAGCUCAUGGAGGUAACUGUAGGACUAACAGCUGGCAGAGUGUGUGCGUGGGGCACAGGACAUGGGAUUGAGGACAAAGAAUUGAUUUUAUUAAAAGAUUGGUUUAUGAAAAGGUCAGCCAUUUAACUGUUAAUGAAAACCAUCACUGUUGUAUAUGGGAUUUCUAAUUUUAGCUCUUUGAAAAACCGCCAUACUGAUUUCCAAAUGGAUUUUUACAGAUAGGUGUUGAGGAGAAGAGAAAGAGAAGAAGGCAGAAAAGGAGAAGGAAAGGGGGAAGAAGAAGCAGCAGCAGAAGCCCCCUACGCUGGCCUCAAAAUUGCAAUCCUCCUGCAUCAGCCUCCUGAAUGCCAGAAUUACAGGUAUGCUCCACCACAGCUGGCUCCAAUUCUUGCAUUUUAUAGAUAGAGAAGUGAGUAAAAUGCUGAGGAAUGGCAUGGCAUGUCCACAAUACCGGAUGCCAAAACACAAAGUCUUCAAAAUUCUGGGGCAGAUGAGUUUUUCACCUGUUGGCCUCUGCUCUGCAAAACGACAAAUUAGAUAUGAAAGUGGAACAAAGAUAUUUUCAGAUAUGCAAUGCAAAAAAUGUCCCUCCAGGCCCUCUUUCUUACACAGACACUGGAGGAUGUGCUUCAACACAAGGAGAAAGUAAAGCAGAGAGGGGGCAGUAAGGAAUGGAGGAAACAGGACUUGCAAAGGAAGGUGAAGGGAAUGCCCUACGUUAAAGUUGCUGGGCAAGUCUAGAGAACAACCAGCCAAGUCCAGCAGAAGAGAAGAAGCUUGAGAAACAACAGUAGCAGGUUUAGCAGGUUUAGCAGUGUCCCCCAAAUCCAGUUCCACUAAGAACAGGAAGAUAACUUUAUUUCAAAAUACGAUCUUUGCAGAUAUAAUUAGUUAAUAAGAAGUUAUACUGGAUUAGCAUAGGCUGCUACUCCUAUAUGACCAGCAUACUUAUUAGAUCAUGAUCACAGACACCUAGAGGAAGAAAUCUACAGAAAGACACACAUGGGAGCAAUGUGGCUACACACCAAAGAAUGCCAUGCACCAGCAGCAACCACCAGGUGCUAGGAGGAAACAAGGAACAGAUGCUCCCCAGACUCUAGAAGGAACCAACAUGCCAACCUCUUGGUUUCAGACUUCUGGCCUCCAGAACUGGUAGAGAAGCACAAGUCUGUAUUUUAAGUCACUGAGUUAGUAGCAACUUGUUUUGGAAGCCCUAGGAAAUUACCACAGCAGGAAACAAACUGGGAAACAAAUGUAAAAGCUGCCGAAUCAAAACGAGAAAGAAAUUAAAGCUGGGAGCUUAUGAAGAAUUCAUGUGCACAAUAACUGUCACAAAGGAGUCUGCCAGAUCGCAAGUUUGCACAGAUGUCACCAUAACCUUAUACAAAACAUACUUCCCAAGGACAUCCAUGUGGCAAAGAACUGUUCAGCCUUAGACUAAUAUCACUUCUGUUAUCAAUAAUGGUGGCUAAGAUUAUUUUAAAAUAUCUGAUGUAAUCCUUUUCAUCUUUGUCUUAAAAAUCUUCCUCUUGCUCAACCUCUUUGAACAUGCCACAGUUUGCUAUGGUGCUUGUAUUCCCAAAUAAAUGUCAUUAUUCUUUGGAGAA